rnacentral:rRNA from 1 species
GACGUAGGGGGCAAGCGUUGUUCGGAAUUAUUGGGCGUAAAGCGCGCGCAGGCGGUCUUCCAAGUCAGUGGUGAAAGCCCGGAGCUCAACUCCGGAACUGCCAUUGAAACUGUGAGACUUGAGGAUGAGAGAGGUGAGUGGAAUUCCCAGUGUAGAGGUGAAAUUCGUAGAUAUUGGGAAGAACACCGGUGGCGAAGGCGGCUCACUGGCUCAUUUCUGACGCUCAGGCGCGACAGCGUGGGGAUCAAACGGG